GUUAUGAUCCCACAUCGACUACACUUAUGGGGGUGUAGGGGUUCUUAAGUCCUUGGGGUCCUCCCACCUAUUGGACUAGUCUUUUGGGUUGGGCUCUUCCUUUGGGCUUGAGGACCUAACAUUGGUAUCAGAGCCUAGGUUCCCGACGCUGCGGAGGGGGCGACCUGGAAAGGGCUACCUUAACGGGAUGACCUAAGGGUGCACCGCCGUUAAGAGUGAAAGCCACCAGAGUAAGGGCCGCCGUGGGCGUCGGCUUCCGAAUGGUGGUGUAAUGUUAUGAUCCCACAUCAACUACACUUAUGGGGGUGUAGGGGUUCUUAAGUCCUUGGGGUCCUCCCACCUAUUGGACUAGUCUUUUGGGUUGGGCUAUUGGUAGUUUUCCCAAAUGUUAUGAUCCCACAUCGACUACACUUAUGGGGGUGUAGGGGUUCUUAAGUCCUUGGGGUCCUCCCACCUAUUGGACUAGUCUUUUGGGUUAGGCUCUUGGUAGUUUUCCCAUGUGGCAUCAUCUUUGGAAUGGUUCUGCCAUUGCACCAGGAUUUCAGUCACUGCAGAAUUAUUUCGUUUCACCAAUCGUCUGUCUAGAAUGGCUACCGGAACAUCUUGAAGAAUACCCGAAUCGGUAAUAACAGGCAAUGGGACAGUAGGCUGGAUAAUGGAACCCAAAUGCUUCUUUAGACAAGACACAUGGAACACAGGGUGAAGUUUAGAGUGAUCUGGUAACUUGAGUUUAUAAGCUACUGGACCAACUUUGGAUAGAAUAGGGAAUGGACCAUAAAAUCGUGGUUGGAGUUUGUGAAAUGGAUGAGAAGCUAGGGACAAAUGCUGGUAUGGCACCAAUCUUAGAUACACUGAAUCUCCCACCUCAAAUACUCGUUCGGACCGGUUCUUAUCAGCUUGAACCUUCAGCCUACAUUGGGCAGCUUCCAGAUUGCUCUUGAGUAAGGAUAAGAUUCGAUCCCUUUCUGUCAAAGCUUGAUCGACAGAUUCUACCUUAGUGGUGCCAGAUUCAUAGGUUUGUACUGUUGGUGGAGCUUAACCAUAUACAAUCUCAAAUGGAGUCAUCUUGGUUGCUGAAUGGAAACUUGUAUUGAAUGACCACUCUGCCCAAGAAAGCCAUGAAACCCAUUUCUUUGGCUACAAGCUACAAAAGCAUCGCAAAUAUGUUUCGAGACAUCGGUUCAAAACCUCAAUUUGGCCAUCUGUUUGAGGAUGGUAACCAGAACUGAAACAUAAUGAAGAACCUUGCAGAUGAAAGAACUCCUUCCAAAAUUUGCUUAAGAAAACCGGAUCUCUGUCACUCACUAUUGAUUUCGGCAUGCCAUGUAGUUUAAAAAUAUUGUCAACAAAGAGUUGAGCAACCAUGGACGCAGAAUAUGGAUGACCAAUAGCAGUGAAGUGAGCAUAUUUGGACAACCGAUCCACCACGACCCAGAUUACAGAUUUACCUUUACAUAGAGGAAGGCCCACAAUGAAAUCCAUGGAUAUGUCUGUCCAAAUCUUGGUAGGUAUAGGCAGAGGAUGCAAUAAUCCAGGAGGAGACAAAGUCUCAUAUUUGUUUUGUUGACAUGUUGAACAGCAAGCUACCAUAUCCUUCACAAACUUCUUCAUCCCUUCCCAAUAAAAACACCUAGAAAUCCGCUUAUAGGUCUUUAAAAAACCCUCAUGACCAGCCGUAGGUGUAGCAUGAUUUUCAUAGAACACUUUGUUUCUCCAGUGAGUAGUGGGGCUAAGCACAAUGCAGUUCUUGUAUUUAAGAAGACCAUUAUCUACAUGAAACUUCAAUGUAGCCACUGUGAUAGAACCGUCAUCCAUAGACAGGAGACUUCGGAUUUUUGUUAUUAUCCAAGGAUCUUUCUCCAUAUCUCUGCGCAAAUCAUCUAGCCACUGAGAAUAAGGGUAAGAAAUAGCCAACACUUCCAUGUCUGAAAGCUGGUGAUCAACAAAAUUGGUAAUAUUCAAGGGAGAUCGUGAUAAGGCAUCUGCUGCUUGGUUAUUACAGCCUUGUUUAUAUUGAAUUUCGUAAUCGAACCCGAGAAGUAUGGUAACCCAUUUCUGUUGUAUUGGAGUAUGGGCCCUGCCUUGAAGGAAAUAUUUCAAAUUGUGGUGAUCAUUUUGAAUAAUGAAGUGAUUGCCCACUAAGUAGGACUGCCAUUUGUGAACAGCAUGUAAGAUGGCUAACGUCUCUCUUUCAUAUGCAGAUAGCGUUUGAUUCCUCAAACAAAGGGCUUUACUUGUGAAAGCAAUUGGUUUGCCUCCCUGUUGAAGCACCGCGCCAAUACCAUGACCCGAAGCAUCAGUUUCAAUCACAAAAGGCCUAGUAAAAUCUGGUAAAGCGAGGACUUAAGGAGAUAACAUUGCAUUCUUGAGAGUAUUAAAAGCUGUGGUAGCUGCAUCUGACCAAUGAAAACUGUCCUUUCGUGUGAGAGCAGUCAAUGGACUUACAAUCUUGCCAAAAUGAGGAAUAAAUUUCCUAUAGUACCCCGUUAAUCCCAAAAACCCUCGCAAAGCUUUCACUGAUUUGGGAAUAGGCCACUGAGCUAUAGAAUCCAGUUUAGUAGGGUCAGCCGAUACCCCAUCCUUGGAUACAAUAUGCCCGAGAUAUUCUACCUGUGAUUGACCAAAUGCACACUUCGAUUGUUUCACAAACAGGUGGUGCUCCUUUAAUGUCUCAAAGACUAUUUUUAAUUGAUCCAAAUGCAGUUGCCAAGAAGGGCUAUAGACCAAUAUAUCAUCGAAGAAAACAAGAAUAAACUUUCUCAAAUAUGGUCGAAAGAUGUCAUUCAUAAGGCAUUGGAAAGUAGCAGGAGCGUUGGUCAAACCAAAUGGCAUUACUAAGAACUCGUAAUGACCAUCAUGUGUCCUAAAAGCUGUCUUUUCAACAUCAUCAGGAUGCAUUCUAAUCUGGUGAUAACCUGCCCUCGAGUCUAACUUGGAAAAGUAUUGUGCCCCAAAUAACUCAUCCAACAAUUCAUCAAUAAGAGGAAUAAGGAACUUAUCUUUAAUGGUGAUGCAAUUAAGGCCUCUAUAGUCCAUGCACAUACGCCAAGUUCCCUCUUUUUUCCUUACUAAGAUAACAGGAGAAGAAUAUGGGCUAUUGCUCACUCGUAUAAAUCCUGCCUCCAAUAAUUCAGCAACACAUUUCUCGAUCUCAGCCUUUUGAACCGGGCCAUAUCGAUAAGGUCGAAUGUUUGGAGGUUUGCUGCCAUGGAUUAGUGGAAUUCUAUGGUCCUGAAUUCUGUGGGGUGGCAAGAACUUGGGAGUUUGAAAUAUUGUCGCAUAGUCUUCCAGUAAGUUAUGCAACUGUUGUUGUUGAAACAGUGUAAGAUUUUGACUAUCCUUGUCCUUCUGUGCAGUAGCUAAUUGGAAUGACCCCACUUCCUCAGUUUUAAUAUGGAACAAGACUGCUCCCACCGUUGACUCCUGAUGAAGUAGCUUUUGCAUUUGGAAAGCAGAAAUAUCCUGAAGAUUUUCCUUAGAUGCCUCCGGACUAGUGAUACAAAAUGUCUGAGAAUGUUUUGUGAACUGCAUGUACAAUUUAUCGAAAUCCCACAAUAUAGGUCCUAAGGUACGCAACCAUUGCACCCCAAGUACAACAUCACAUCCUCCCAAGGCUAUAGCAUAUAGAUCCGAGACACACUUGAAACCCUGAAUUGUAAUAGGAAUUUGAGACAAAGUUUCUUGAGUGGCAAUCUUACCCCCAUCUACAAUCUUCACAUUAAAAACAUGUUUGGUGUCCAAUGAACCUUUUAAUCGCUUAACCAAUCCCACAUCUAUGAAAUUAUGAGAACUACCGGAAUCGAUCAAAAUGGUAGCAGGGCAAUUCUUAAUAAACCCUGUAACUUUCAUGGUCUGAAGUGAUGGAGGUGUAGGGACCCCAAACAAAGCACAGGCAGUGAUUUCUGGUUCCUCAUCUUCUCUGUCAACAUUAUCCCCUGAUUCAGAGUCUUGGACAUCUAUCAACAAUAAUUGUUUCCUUUCACAGCUAUGUCCCCGAACAUAUUUCUCUUUACAAUGGAAACAUAAACCAUUUUUCCGACAGUAAUCGACUUCCUCAGGAGUUAACCUUCUCACAUUAAUUGGCUUAGCAGGAUUCGCAACAGGACUAUUGGAAUUAACAUUCUGAAAUGGAAUUUGAAAAUUUGAUUGCACAAGAGAAGCUUUAGUACCCGAUUUCGCCUUCAACUCCGUGAGCUUGGCAUCAAUUUGAUAGGCAAAAGCGGCAGCCUCCAAUACAUCUCUGGGCUUUAACAGUUUAACAUCAUGGCGUAGUUCCGGUCGAAGACCCCCAAUAAAGCAAGAUUUGAGUAAAGAAGGGCUGAUAUCCCGUGUGCGAUUUGCCAACCUUCGAAAUUCCAUGACAUAAUCUCUGAGAGUGCCUGAUUGUCGUAAUUUGACCAAGUUUUCGGCCGAAUCUUCAAGUUCUGAGGAACCAAAUUCUUGGCACAAUGCUGCUGUGAAAUCCUUCCAAUUGGGAAAAUUCGUCAAACACCUCGCCCAUUGGAACCAUUGCAAAGCUUCACCUUCCAUGUGAAAGGACGCCAAUUUCACCUUCCUGGAUUCGUCAAUGUUGAAAAAAUCGAAGUAAUGCUCAGCCUUGUAGAUCCACCCUAAUGGAUCGUCACCUUCAUUGAAUCUUGGAAACUCCAACUUCAACAACGGUGAUCGAUGUAGCUGAUUGAAAUUAUGCCCAAAUUCGUGAUGAACUGGGUUAGGGUUCCUGCGAUCUUGAAACUGAUUUUCGCCCAAGGUUGCUUCUGAAGAAUCCCCCAAGGAUCCACCAUUACCCCUAGCCAUAAGAGCUUGUAGUUGCUCCAUAAUCAGCUCUAAAUUCGCCUGAACCUUCUCUUGCGCUUGCUGCAUGUCUUCAAUCUUCGUCUCCAGACUCGAUACGCGGGACUCCAUAUUCUUGCGCGACCCUUGCCGCGACAGACAACGUCGAAGGAUUGACCUAAGGGUGCACCGCCGUUAAGAGUGAAAGCCACCAGAGUAAGGGCCGCCGUGGGCGUCGGCUUCCGAAGGGUGGUGUAAUGUUAUGAUCCCGCAUCAACUACACUUAUGGGGGUGUAGGGGUUCUUAAGUCCUUGGGGUCCUCCCACCUAUUGGACUAGUCUUUUGGGUUGGGCUCUUCCCUUGGGCUUGAGGACCUAACAAUAUUACGUCAUUUGGUGUAAUUAAGUGUAACGUUAAGAUACUUAUGUAACCUUGGAGUGUAUAUUUAAACGAUUACGGUGUAACUUUACCUUAGACCUUAUAUGUUGACGUCAUAUUGUACCAAGAUUACGAUGUGUAAGUUCAUUGUGUUCCCUAGUAAUAGCAUAUAUCUAUAUUGAAAUAGUAUGUCAUUGUUAUAAUAAUUAAUGUUAAUUUUGUAACUCAAUCACGCUGAAGUACAAAAACCUACCUAGAUAACAUAAUAAACGUUCACAAUGUAAGUACCAACCUUGUUAUAGUAAUAAUCACGUCAUUCUUUGUCAUUAACUUGAACUUUAUCAUAAUUAUGUAACCUUGGAGUGUAAUUUUGAAUCAUCAUAUUGUAUCUUAAAUGGUAUUGAUACCUUAUCUCUACUAAGGUACCGCAUAGAAUCUCCCUUUUGUGUAUUUAUUUCUUAUUAAGGAUGAAAUUGGUAAAGAAAAGUUGAGCAUAAAGGGUUAUCAUAAAUUUAAUGAGGAUAAUAUUAUUCUAAAAGAAUGUAAUUAAUGUUAAAAGUGCAAGCCCUCAAUCCCUAAGAGCAUCUCUAAUGGAAGUCCAUAUUUAGAGACUCCAACCACCACUUUUGAGAACUUAUUCAGGGCCUUGAUGAAAUCUUUGUGUGCCUAAAUGAAUAUUGUCUCCAAUGAAAGAGUCCUUAGAAUAGAGUUCCUAAAUUUGGAGUUUUACAAUUUCAUGGGAUUAGGUACAAAUUUUCUGUUUGUGUUAACUUAUGUUAAUUAAUUUAGCAUUACGUUGUUAUAUAAAAAAAAAACUUUGCUAACAUUUGAACCAAAAAAAUUUCAAAUUCUGAUACAACGUUUUCUUCAACAAAACGUAACUAAAAUGGCUCCAUUAUUAAACUAAUUCAUUAGAAAAAAUGAAAUAAUUAAAUAGUUCAAAUAAAUAUAUUAACUUAUAUUAAUAAAAAAGUAAAUCUCAAUUUACUAUCCUCAAGUUUCGUAAUUUUCAACAUUUGUUACAUGAAUUUUUUUUCAUCUCAAAGUCAUACCUAAAAUAAUAAUUUUGAAACAAUCUCAUACAUCCGAUAGUCUGGCUGUUAAAUCUCCCGUUAAAUAAUGACAUUGCAUCUAUGUGAAUAAUAAUUAUACGUCACAUGUCCACGUGUAAAUUAAAAAUUCAAAAAAAAAAAUAUUCCCCUCUCCCUUUGAUCUCCAUCGUCUUCAAGCCCAGCAAAGGUUUCCUUCUUUGUUUUCUGCAGCAUGGCCAACCGAUCAAGGAUUUCCUUCACACACACAAAAAAAAAAAAAAAAAAAAACACUAAUAAUUAUACACAAUCACAAAUCAGAGCAUUCAAGUCAGCCAUGUCCACCAAAAAUUUCAGAUCCGUGCUCAGAAAUUGUGGAGACAUGGAGGCUGCGGUUGGGGUUUGUUUUGGGAGACAUGGGGUGGGGGGAAUCGGCGAUGGAGAUAUGUGAGAAGGCAAAUCGGCAGCGGAUUGCAGCGACGGAGUCGGGGAGGGCACUGGCGGAGAGAAAGAGGAUGCGGCGCCGACUAUUACCCCAACUGCAACAAACGCCGACUACCUCCCCCUUCGAGGUCAUAGCUGCCGGAGUUCCAAGGCCGCUGCAUGCACCUCGUAUCAAAGAUCGGCUGCCGGAGAUCCCUGUCACGCUGCACCUGCAACUUUCGUGUUUUCAUGGCGGUGGAGAGUCCGCUGGUCCAAGGUUUGGAGCAAAAACUCCAACUGGAUCAGGAAUUGGUGCCUGGGUCCUAUUUGGCGUUGAGGGCGGAGGGAACUUGCGGGAUUUGGGUUCGAUGGGCGAGGACAUGGUGGGUUAGGGUGCAAGAUAAGGAGGAGGAAGAGGAGGGUGGGGGGGUUAGGAGAGGUAUGGUGGAGAUAGAAAGGGGUAGUCGAAGAAGAAGGUUUACUUUUUUAAUUUUUUUUUAUUUUUAAAAUUUAAAAAAAAAAAUUAAUCCCAGUUAUUGUCCACGUGGCUCAUCGUGUCACUAGUUAACGACUAACUUAAUAGCAACCUUAACGGAUGUAUGAAACUGUUCAAAAUUUUAACUUCAUUUACCA
rnacentral:lncRNA from 1 species